rnacentral:rRNA from 1 species
GACGAACGCUGGCGGCGUGCUUAACACAUGCAAGUCGAACGGUGAAGCGCCUUCCUUUUUGGUGGGUGUGGAUGAGUGGCGAACGGGUGAGUAACACGUGAGUAACCUGCCCCCUUCUUCUGGAUAACCGCAUGAAAGUGUGGCUAAUACGGGAUAUUCUGGGUCUGUCGCAUGAUGGGUCUGGGAAAGAUAUUGUUUCGGUGGGGGAUGGGCUCGCGGCCUAUCAGCUUGUUGGUGGGGUGAUGGCCUACCAAGGCGGUGACGGGUAGCCGGCCUGAGAGGGUGGACGGUCACACUGGGACUGAGACACGGCCCAGACUCCACGGGAGGCAGCAGUGGGGAAUAUGGCACAAUGGGCGCAAGCCUGAUGCAGCGACGCCGCGUGAGGGAUGGAGGCCUUCGGGUUGUGAACCUCUUUCGCCAGUGAAGCAGGCCUGCCUCGUUUGUGGGUGGGUUGACGGUAGCUGGAUAAGAAGCGCCGGCUAACUACGUG